rnacentral:rRNA from 1 species
CAAUAGCGUAUACUAACUUUGCUGCGGUUAAAAUGCUCCUAGUCGAAUUUGUGGAUCUUUUGAGCGGCUCCGACGCUGUUCGCAGUGUGUGCGUGCCUGUUCGAGAUUCAUCUUUCUGGAGAAGCCCUUCUGUCCUUAAUUGGGUGGUUGGGCAAUCCGGAUCGUUUACUGUGAAGAAAUGAGAGUGUUCAAAGCAGGCUUUGAUGCCUGAAUCGAUUAGCAUGGAAUAAUAAGAUAGGACUUUGAUUCUAUUUUGUUGGCUUCGAGAACCAAAGUAAUGAUUGAUAGGGACCGUUGGGGGUGCUCGUAUUCGGUGGGGAGCGGUGAAAUGCACGGAUCCACUGAAGACGGACUAAUGCGAAAGCAUUCACCAAGGAGGUCUUCUUUGAUCAAGAACGAAAGUUGGGGGAUCGAAGACGAUCAGAUACCAU